rnacentral:rRNA from 1 species
UACGAAGGGGGCUAGCGUUGCUCGGAAUCACUGGGCGUAAAGCGCACGUAGGCGGCUUUCUAAGUCAGGGGUGAAAUCCUGGAGCUCAACUCCAGAACUGCCUUUGAUACUGGAGAGCUCGAGUCCGGGAGAGGUGAGUGGAACUCCGAGUGUAGAGGUGAAAUUCGUAGAUAUUACGGAAGAACACCAGUGGCGAAGGCGGCUCACUGGCCCGGUACUGACGCUGAUGUGCGAAAGCGUGGGGAGCAAACAGGG